rnacentral:rRNA from 1 species
UACGUAGGUGGCAAGCGUUGUCCGGAUUUACUGGGCGUAAAGAGCGCGCAGGCGGUCGUUCAAGUCGCGUGUGAAAGCCCCCGGCUCAACUGGGGAGGGUCACGCGAUACUGAUCGACUCGAAGGCAGGAGAGGGUAGUGGAAUUCUCGGUGUAGAGGUGAAAUUCGUAGAUAUCGAGAGGAACACCGGUGGCGAAGGCGGCCAACUGGACGAAUACUGACGCUGAGACACGAAAGCGUGGGGAGCAAACAGG